rnacentral:rRNA from 1 species
GACGAACGCUGGCGGCGUGCUUAACACAUGCAAGUCGAACGGAAAGGCCCUGCUUGCAGGGUACUCGAGUGGCGAACGGGUGAGUAACACGUGGGUGAUCUGCCCUGCACUUCGGGAUAAGCCUGGGAAACUGGGUCUAAUACCGGAUAGGAGCCAUUUUUAGUGUGAUGGUUGGAAAGUUUUUUCGGUGUAGGUUGAGCUCGCGGCCUAUCAGCUUGUUGGUGGGGUAAUGGCCUACCAAGGCGGCGACGGGUAGCCGGCCUGGGAGGGUGGACGGCCACAUUGGGACUGAGAUACGGCCCAGACUCCUACGGGAGGCAGCAGUGGGGAAUAUUGCACAAUGGGCGCAAGCCUGAUGCAGCGACGCCGCGUGGGGGAUGACGGCCUUCGGGUUGGAAACUCCUUUCGCUAGGGACGAAGCUUUUUGUGACGGUACCUAGAGAAGAAGCACCGGCUAACUACGUG